GCCCGUCUUAUCAACGAUCGUACGAUUUUGGAAAUCUUAGCGUACGAUUUUGAUCUACGAUUGUCGUACGCUCGAUCGUAAGACUGUCUUAUCAACGCGGUCGUACGUUCAACCUAAAAUCUUACAAUUUUCAUAAGCGUACGAUUCUUACGCCUGCGCACUAACACAUACUCUUCAAAAAAGGAGGUAACGCGCAUUUUAAUGUCAUAAUUGAAAUACGACGUGUGCUACAAUUCAGCGAUGUCUGACAAGGCAAGAAAAGUUAAUUGGACAACUGAUGAGCGUGAUAUGCUCAUUAGCAAAUGUGAAAAUGCUGAUGUGGCCACCGGCAAGUUUUCACAGACACUUACGGCCGCGGACAAAGCCCGGUUUUGGGCGAAUGUAGUGGAAAGAAAAUAAUGAUCCUGGCCUUACCAUCCCAGACCUUCCUGUUGGAAGUGAGACAAACUCUUUGGGAAGAAAGGAAAUUUUGCAGGAUAAAGGAUUUGAAGGUGAUAAUGAGUCAGUGCCAAAGAAGGCAAAAUAUGACAAGAAAACAGAGGAUGACAUAUAUCAACUUGUUGAACAACAGACUGCAAUUAUGACAGAAUUGAAUUCAACAUUAAAACAUUAAAUCAGUCUUUAGAUGGCAUAAAAAAAAGAUAAGACAAACUUAUUUAAAAUUCUAACACGACAUGUAUGUUUCCCUUAUGAACUCAGAAGAACCGAAAUUGUGUGUUAUAAUGGUCAUAAAAUCAAUGUUUACAUUCUUAAUUUGGACAUUUGAUGAAACCAUUAAAAAUUUUACGAGCUGAAUAUUUAAUAUGGUAACUUUACAGGCAAAAGUUAGCUUAAUAUCGGGUACUGCAGCAUUUAUUAAAUGACAUGUGUUAGGAUUGAAAUAAUAUAUCUCAAUCAGUAAAUUUAACCAUUGAUAAAUUAAAAUCAAUGUUUGUCCUUCAGAUGUGCAGCAUUAUAUCAACGGGGCUUUGCCCCGUGAUGUUAUUUCUUACAUCUGGACUCGAACAGUGUUUUUUUUAGCACAAAAAUCAAAAUUUAGGAUAUAUUAUUUCUUAAUCAUUAAUUUAUAGUCAUUGUAAAAUUUUCAUUUAAGCACCCACCCUCCCUAACAUAGUGUUGGUGUCUAUUUUUAUCAGGAAACACUUCUGUCCUAUCUGUAUUUUGAAUUGUUUUAACCAUGUUUGUUUUGAAGUAACAGUUGAGCAAUUAUGAUAGUUGCAAGAGUUAAGUCCUUUUUAAACUUAGAAUUUUAGGCAAUUUAGAAUUUUUAACAU